GACGAACGCUGGCGGCGUGCUUAACACAUGCAAGUCGAACGGAGUGGCGAACGGGUGAGUAACACGUGGGUGACCUGCCCUGCACUUCGGGAUAAGCCUGGGAAACUGGGUCUAAUACCGGAUAGUGUGGGAUGGGCCCGGGGGCUAUCAGCUUGUUGGUGGGGUAAUGGCCUACCCAGGGGGCGAAGGGUUGACGGACGGGGUGGGGGGAUGGCCACAGUGGGUCUGAGACACGGCCCAGACUCCGACGGUAGGCAGCGGUGGGGAAUAUUGCACAAUGGGCGGAAGUCUGAUGCAGCGACGCCGCGUGGGGGAUGACGGCCUUCGGGUUGUAAACUCCUUUCACCAUCGACGCGGUAGAUGGAGAAGAAGCACCGGCUAACUACGUGCCAGCAGCCGCGGUAAUAC
rnacentral:rRNA from 1 species